CCAAGAAAUAUCUCAAGACUGAUUUUUCUAAGGUUUUAUGUACUGAUGAAAUGAGAGUGAGUCUUGAUGGGCCAGAUGGAUGGGCCCGUGGCUGGAUUGGUAAAGGGCAGAGAGCUCCAGUCCGACUCAGACGCCAGCAAGGUGGAGGAGGAGUACUGGUUUGGGCUGGUAUCAUCAAAGAUGAGCUUGUGGGGCCUUUUCGGGUUGAGGAUGGAGUCAAGCUCAACUCCCAGUCCUACUGCCAGUUCCUGGAAGACACCUUCUUCAAGCAGUGGUACAGGAAGAAGUCUGCA
rnacentral:lncRNA from 1 species